rnacentral:rRNA from 1 species
CCUACGGGUGGCAGCAGUGGGGAAUAUUGCGCAAUGGGCGAAAGCCUGACGCAGCGACGCCGCGUGCGGGAUGAAGGUCUUCGGAUCGUAAACCUCUGUCAGCAGGGAAGAACGGUCACUGUGCUAAUCAGCAGUGAAUUGACGGUACCUGCAAAGGAAGCACCGGCUAACUCCGUGCCAGCAGCCGCGGUAAUACGGAGGGUGCGAGCGUUAAUCGGAAUUACUGGGCGUAAAGCGCUCGUAGGCGGUAUGUCAAGUCAAGGGUGAAAUCCCCGCGCUCAACGUGGGAACUGCCUUUGAUACUGGCAAACUGGAGUGUGUGAGAGGAUAGUGGAAUGCCAGGUGUAGGAGUGAAAUGCGUAGAUAUCGGGAGGAACAUCAGUGGCGAAGGCGACUAUCUGGCACAUAACUGACGCUGAGGAGCGAAAGCGUGGGUAGCAAACAGGAUUAGAUACCCCUGUAGUC